rnacentral:lncRNA from 1 species
ACACACACACACAAAGUAGAAAGAGAUGCGAAAGAAUAAAGACAUCACAGAACUCAUACAUAAGCUAUUCAAAAGCAUCCCUAAAAUUACCCCCUUCAUGAAGAACAAGAUACAACUUAUGCCUGUAUUGACUCUGUGACAUAAUUAUUCCCUAUUCUAGCAUUCUCAGAAGGAUCCCAUCCAGGAUAUAUGCAAUAACUGCAGGUACAUUUGAAUUAUGCUUCAUGAUUCACUCUGAACUCCCUUAAGAUUGCUGUCUCUUUGUUGUUCUCUUUCAAGCUGGAAAAAUCUUACUCUGCUUAGGAGAUAUCUCCAUUUUGCUCUUUCUGUGCAGAUAAUAAUGUCCAGACUCCAAGCCACUGAUAGGGAAAGCCACUUCUGACCUCCCAUGAGAUCCUCUCACUUCUGUCCUUUGGUUGGGGUGGGCCUUCUGGCAGACAUAAGGGCAUGUAGCCACAAGGAUUCAGAAGGAUUAGCAUUUCUUAGCUGACUAGAUGAGAGUCCACUGAAUCUUUGGGGAAUUUUUUUUUUUUCAUUUUCAGACAUCAGAAAAGACUUCUGGGUCAAGAUUAGGUUAAACUUUUUUGCAAUGGGUCCAUUGGGAGGUGAGCUGAAC